rnacentral:tRNA from 1 species
GCGGGUAUAGCUCACGUGGGAGAGCACAUGCUUAGCAUGCACGAGGUCCUGGGUUCAAUCCCCAGUCCCUCCA